GAUGAACGCUGGCGGCGUGCCUAAUACAUGCAAGUCGAGCGAACAGACGAGGAGCUUGCUCCUCUUACGUUAGCGGCGGACGGGUGAGUAACACGUGGAUAACCUACCUAUAAGACUGGGAUAACUUCGGGAAACCGGAGCUAAUACCGGAUAAUAUAUUGAACCGCAUGGUUCAAUAGUGAAAGACGGUUUUGCUGUCACUUAUAGAUGGAUCCGCGCCGCAUUAGCUAGUUGGUAAGGUAACGGCUUACCAAGGCAACGAUGCGUAGCCGACCUGAGAGGGUGAUCGGCCACCCUGGAACUGAGACACGGUCCAGACUACUACGGGAGGCAGCAGUAGGGAAUCUUCCGCAAUGGGCGAAAGCCUGACGGAGCAACGCCGCGUGAGUGAUGAAGGUCUUCGGAUCGUAAAACUCUGUUAUUAGGGAAGAACAAAUGUGUAAGUAACUAUGCACGUCUUGACGGUACCUAAUCAGAAAGCCACGGCUAACUACGUG
rnacentral:rRNA from 1 species